rnacentral:rRNA from 1 species
CAGCAGCCACGGUAACACGUAGGUGGCAAGCGUUGUCCGGAAUUAUUGGGCGUAAAGGGCUCGCAGGCGGUUUCUUAAGUCUGAUGUGAAAGCCCCCGGCUCAACCGGGGAGGGUCAUUGGAAACUGGGAAACUUGAGUGCAGAAGAGGAGAGUGGAAUUCCACGUGUAGCGGUGAAAUGCGUAGAGAUGUGGAGGAACACCAGUGGCGAAGGCGACUCUCUGGUCUGUAACUGACGCUGAGGAGCGAAAGCGUGGGGAGCGAACAGGAUUAGAUACCCCAGUAGUCCCUGUCUCUUAUAA